UUUCCAGCAGGAUAUGAAAAAAAAGACCCACUUCAGCCAGCAAUUCUCUGCAGGGGCCUGAGUCUUCCCAAUAGCACAAUGGGUGUGAAUGCUGUGGGUCUGGUGUGAAUCUGGGCUUCCUCAAAUUAUUUGAUGGCCUAGGGCAGGUUUCUACCAAGUAGAAACUGGAGGUCAUGAUUGCUGUGCAGCUGAGUCAGGAAAAGGUCACCUCCAGCUUACGUGUGGGUAGGGAGGGAACAGAUGGGAAAGUGGGAUGUGUUCAGGGAAAGACUCAUGGGGUAGGAAUUGCCGAUGAAUAGCAGCAGAGGCAAUUCGGUUUUGAGAUCAGUAAGAGGACUCCCUUUUUAUGGAUGAGGUAACAACCUCAGAAAGGUUAGGCAGCUGCUUAGUGGAACUCAGCCUUGAACCUGAGGCUGCCGACCUCCAAAGCUGCAAGCACUUGAUUGAAACCAUGCUUGAGAUGGGCAGAUGCCCGUCAAAUGCCAAGCUCCAUACAUCAUCAGGUGUGGCUCUGGCCCUUGCUCCCUAGAGCAUCUAUAUGCUGCUGAAGGCCCUGGGACCUUCCUUCCCCUGACAGGGGACACAGGAAGGUGGGGUCAUUUCUUCCUGGUACAGGUGAGAAAGCUGGGAACAUGCCUGCUUCAGAGCUACCCAGAGCAGUGAGUUAAUUUCCACGGAUGGCAUGAGACUCUGAGGACCCCUGCUGGGAAGAUGGGGUAAUGCAGCCACAGCUGCCUUGACCCUAGAUGUGGAGAGGAGACAGCUUUACCAGGGCCUAAGCACCCAGCUCUGCCACAGCUACUUAGCCCACGUGAUCUCGUUUGGUCCCAGAGUCUCUCUGGUGGGUAUCACCCCACCAUCCAGGCUCAGAGUGGGUGGUAGUAUGUCCAGGUCACGUGGUGGCCAAGCAAAGCUGUCCUCUUGAAUCUAGCAGGCAGGCUGCCCCACUCCUCUGUGUGCCCACUGUACAAAGCCACAGACUUGAAAACUAGAAGUGGCAGUUGUUCACCAGAGAGCUGUCCUCUGUUAUGUGCCCUGCCACCACUAGGGACAAUGAGCCGCAGAGACGCUCUUUCUUCUUUCCCAGCCUCCCUGGCCUCGUGCUGUCUAGUGCUCUGGGAUUCUGAGCACAGAGCUGGGCUGGCAUCGUCUGGGAGUCUCCAGGAAGAAGGCAAGUCCUUCUCCUCUGGAAAGUUCCACCUGAAAGGGAUGUCACACUCGUGUUGGUGGAUACUUGGCCAGGCCCCUCUUUGGCUGGCUGGGUCUGCACUGGGCCCUUUCCCUGUCACCAUAGGCCAAGUACCAAGGGGUGGCAUCUUAGUCUGUUCAGGCUGUUGUCACAAACUGGGGAAAUUAUAAACAACAAAGAUUCAAGUCCAGGCAAGGCACUGGCAGAUUUUUCUGGGGAGACCCACUCUCUGGUUCUUCUCUCUGAUGGUACCUUCUUGCUCUCUGAGGGGUCUCUGGCCUCUUUUACAAGGGCACUCAUCCAUCCUCGGGAAGGGGCUCCUCCCUGUGAGCUUAUUACUUCCCAAAAGCCCCCCUCCUGAUAGCACCACCUUAGGGGUUAAAUUUCUACACAUAAAUUUUUGGGGGGACACAACAUUCAGACCAAAGCAGCUGGCACAGAGACUAAUCCUUCUGCAGUAAGUUGAGGUGGGAGCAGUUUGCAGCAGAGUCCCCACUUCUGGGCACUUCUAGGGUGGCAGCUGUGUUCCUGCCCUGCAGAUGCAAACUGAAUAGAGGUCCCCAGCCUGCAUUCCCUCAUGAGUCCAAGUUCAGUUUGUGCUGGGCAAAGAGGAGCCCAUAGAGGAGGGUGGACAUCACCGUGGCCUUUAUGAAGUGCAUUCUGGGAUCCAGACAUAAUAAAUGUGUGCUGAUGUUUUGUGCUGGAUGUGGGGUCGGGGAGCCCCAAGAGCAUCCACCAGCAUAGCCCGUCCUGGCUUAGGGCUGGGUGCUCGAGGAAGGAAGUGCCCUAUAGCUGCUGGGCGGGGGCAAACCAGGUGGUGGGGAGAGAGGUUUCUGAUACAGGAACAGACAGCCCCUGGGCCCUCAUCUCCUGGGGUUCCAGGGGCACACGGUGUCUCAUGCUACACGCCUGAAAGAUUACAUAAGGACACCAAUAGGUAGAGUCAAGCCAGGUAGUAGAGAGGAGAGAAGGCAAACGUGAGCAGAUGGGAGUCCAGGGCAGAGGAAGAACUGCGGCCAGGGCUGGUGCUGGCCAGAGAGACAGGGGGCCCGCAGGCUGCAUUGAAUUGGGGUGUGCAGAGGAGAGGGAGAAGGGAUGCCAGGCCCGGGCAAGGGUGCAGAAGCUGGGGAGCAGGAAGCCCUUGACCCAUGUCAGGGGCAGGGUGGCUGCUGAGCAGGGCUGGAAAGAACUGGGCGGUUCUGGGCACAGGGAAAAGAGUCAAAAGUCCUCGGGCAGGAAGCACAGGUGGCACUGUGUGGCUUCCCUCCAGCUAACCCAAGGGCAGCUGUCGCAGCUCCUGCCUGCUAGGAGACGGUCCUCUCUGCCCAGGGAGGGGGCCCAGCACCUCUGCAUGGCAGCUCAGCACCCGCCCAGCAAGUUGCACCAGGAAUUUGGCCCAAGUUGACUGAAACCUCAGGAAACGUGAACUCCACAGAGCAGGCGGGGCCAGUGGGUCCUGGGAAUGCAGUCUUAGCAGGUUCGGGGCUGGGCGGGGGCUCCUUUUCUUGAGGUUUCACUAACAACACCCUCAGAUAGCCUUUGCCACACAGCAGGCCUCCUGAGACGCCCAGCUGGCUGCUGAGAAAAUACCAGAAGUGAGCAGCCGCGCCCCAGAACCAGCCUGACCCCGGGCUUCUCCUUCUCAAGCGUGUACUUGGGCCUUUCUCUAAAACCCUCUGGCUCUGGAACUGACCCCCUCAUGCGUGGCCAGGAGCCCACCUUCUAGAGAGACCAUGACGCCCUUCGACAGUGGGGGACCUCUGACCUCGCCCUCCUGCCACCAAUGGUGACCAUGGACACUCUUGGACUGUAGAUUUUUAUUUAGUGUUCCUGUUUUCUGUUGGAAAAAAAAAAUACUCCCAUGCUUGGAAAGCAGCAGAAGAGCACUGGACUGGUGCCCACCCCUUCUUCCAAAUCAGGGCAACUGUCUCAUCUCUGAAGUGAUACGUCCAUUCAUUCAGCCUCCAGGUGAAGACCCUCCAAAGUUGACUGAGCACAGGCCACCAGGCUGGGCAUGGAGGUGCCUUGGGAGCCUGGGAGGUGACAGCAGGGCCAGCGCACCACAGGCAUUUCAGGGUGGGGGCCGUGGAACCCUGGCGGAGGCUGGGGGAGUGCCCCUUUGGGGAGGUGCCAAUGUUUCCUCAGUCCUGAAUCAACUUGGAACAGAGUUCAAAGAAGCAAGGAAGUGGUACCAGCCCAGAGGUCCCUGAGUUGACCCACCGGCCCUGGAGAUGUGGAAUGGCACGAGAUCAGAAAACAGUAAAACCAUAAAUCUCAACCAAAGCAGAAUCCAAACUUGCUGCAAAAGAAUGGAAUGUUCUCCUGGGCGCGAGCAGGAACUUGCUCCCUGGUCUCUGGACGCCCAGUCUGAGCGCACAGGGAGGGCAGUGCAUGCUCAGUAAAGGACAGGGAGAGAGGGAGGGGCCCGGAGGGAGGGACAGAGGGGAAAGCAGGCAAGGGAAGCCCAUGACCCCUCGGGGUUUCCUAACCUCCUCACUCUUGUCACCAAGUGUGUUCCUUAGUGAUUGCUCCUGACACAACAAAUAGGUCAGUUCUCCCAGCUCUAGGGCCUAAAGAGGCAGGAAGAGCUCCCGGCUGCCCCGGGGCUUGUUCUGUGGCUCAAAGCAGCCGAGCUUGAAAGGAAGGGAGGGCCUCAUCCUGACCCCCUGGAUAGCAGAGGAGGCCUCCAGAGGUGCACCCCAGAGGCUCAUGGGAGUGGAAGCCCAGGAGGUGGGGGGCCUGCGGGGAGGAGGGCUGGGGUCUCAGCUGACCAGCCAUUGCACCACCGAGGUGAUUCAGACCCACCACCUCUGCCUCACCUUCCAGAUCCUGCACCCCCUAGACUCUCUGCAAGCCCAGACCCUGCACCCCUAGACUCUGCACCCCCAGACCCUGCACCCCCUAGACUCUGCACCCCCAGAUCUUGCACUCCUCAGACUGUGCACCUCCAGACACUGUACCCCCUAGACCCCACUAUCUUCCCAAACCAGCAGUUCCCAGAUCUCCUCACUUCUCAGAUCCAUCAAGUCCCCAAAUUCCUUAAAAAAUUGGAGAGACCAGAUCCCUGGCCCCAGCAGAUCCCCUGAGCAUGUCACCUCUCCCCACCGUGUCCAAUCCACUCAGCUCAGGACAGUCACCAGACCCAGGACCUCUGUGUCUGCACCAGGGGACACCCUGCGGGGGGUGGGGGUGGAAGACAGUAGACAUCUAGAUACUGGCAGGAAGGUGGCAGGAGAGUGUCCCUGGGAGGUGAAGAGAGGAAGUCACAGGCCAAUAUAUAAAUAUAACCCUUUUUUUCUCUUUAAAAAAAUAAAUAAAAGCUUAUACAUUCUUGGCUAAAUAA